CAGCCGCCGCGGUAAUACGAAGGGUGCAAGCGUUACUCGGAAUUACUGGGCGUAAAGCGUGCGUAGGUGGUGGUUUAAGUCCGUUGUGAAAGCCCUGGGCUCAACCUGGGAAUUGCAGUGGAUACUGGGUCACUAGAGUGUGGUAGAGGAUAGUGGAAUUUCCGGUGUAGCAGUGAAAUGCGCAGAGAUCGGAAGGAACAUCUGUGGCGAAGGCGACUAUCUGGGCCAACACUGACACUGAGGCACGAAAGCGUGGGGAGCAAACAGGAUUAGAUACCCCAGUAGUCCCUGUCUCUUAUAU
rnacentral:rRNA from 1 species